rnacentral:lncRNA from 1 species
ACUAGCACUAACUAGCAUUAAUGACAACAAUGGCUGACACUUAAAUAAGUGCUAUAGAAUUCUGCGGCAGCAAAAGCUGUGCUGCAAUAAGGCACAACUUUUAAAGAAAGAACCACUGUAUCUAGUGGUAGUUAAUACCUCAACAUACUACAAGAUGAAGCUGCCCUUCCAGCGCUAUCUGCUGCAGAAAGAACCAUUCAAACAGUUCAGUCACUCAGCCCUAUCCAGUGGAAAUGAUGCUCUCAAGGUCCUGCUUUACCGCCUCCUGCAAUACCCUGGUGAGAAGUAAUAAGUCUGGCCCCAUGACUUUCACUCACAGAUGGUAUCUAGGCAGGUUAAUUGCACCUGUAGGCCUGUUUGAGGGACAACUGGACAGCACAUUUUAGAAUGCUUGGACCUCAGCUGAGACCCUCUUCUCCUUCCUUGUCCUUCAAGGACAGUCCCUUCUUCUUCUACACUUGCUGUUAGGCAUGAUGCCCUCAAAGUAUGUCACUCUCAUGUUGUGUGGUAUUACCUAUAGAAGACUCCAAGACACUUUCAAAUUGUUUGCCUGUGAAUGGUUGUCCACAUCAGCCUAUUUACCUUUUUAAAUACUGCGUCCCUCACAGAAUUUGAAUGAUCCCUCAACUGCCCCAUGCUCUCUUUCUCUCCAGAUCAGGGGAAGUUGCUUUGCUUUUGACAAAGCCCUCAUCCUACAUUCUGUUCAACUGCUUUUUGAUUCAGUUUGUUUAAUUCAAUGAUAAAACAUUUUUUUACAGAAAGUUGACAAGGCAAUUGUAUGGAUGGAUGUUGGCAUAGGAGACGAAAGUGGAUAGAUGGGUGUAGAUGGGUUUGGUUGAAGAAACUCCCUCUGCCUCUAGCUCCUGUAUUCAAAACUUGCCAAAUACAUUCACCAUCCACUUCAGCUAGUAUCACCUGUUGUUAGGCCUGUUUUAAAAUCUUAAGGUCAAGCACUUUGGAUGAAGUGUGAAAAUGUGAUGUAGGCUGCGUUGUCAUGUUUAUGAAUGUGUUGGUAGUGUCUGAACAAUCACGUAUCCAAUGAAGAGUUUCUUAAAUCUGACCAGGUUUGAAGUUACUGAUUUUUCAGCCAGUAGUCGGCAGUAAUGUGCUACCCACCUCAGGAACCUUGAUUGACCUGGUCCAGUUCAAAUAGUGACUAGAGGCCCAACCUUUGUUCUUUGGGGGUAGUUAACCUUAACCUCAAAUGCAGGUGAAUCCUGUAGGCCACUAACAAUCAUGCGCAAUAUAGUAUAACCUAUAAAAAGAACUGUACGUACACUGUCUCACUGGGUCUUUUCCAAAGAAGUCUAAUGUGAGAGGUUUGCUGUGGCUCUGCAUGAUUAUGGAUUAGAGUAAAAGAGAUUCAUAGCCAAAGGCCCGAACCUACUGGCCUGGCUGACGCCUAAUUCAAAGUCCUCCUGACUUCAGGGUCUGGAAAGGCCCCCCCGCCGAAUGAAUCAAUCAAUGAGUGAAUCAAUCGAAUGAAUCAAUCAAUGAGUCCACACAAUUUCUGAGUGAAUAUUGUAUUAACAAAACUGCCUCCUGUCCUGUUAAUUCACUAGCAAAUUAAUAUUAGAUUUGAGCAGAAACUCUUAUCCAGAGCAACUAGGGUUACAUGUCUUUCUCAGGGGCACAUCAACAGAUUUGUCACCUAGUCGCCUUGGGGAUUCGAAUCAUCGACCUUUCGAGUUACUGGUCCAACGCUUUAAACCACACAUUUCAUUAUAUUAUAGCACAGCAGUGGUAGUAUUAUUGCUGUUUUAAAGCUUGAGCUCCUACUGUAGAUGUAUUGCCUAAUAGCCAAGAUAAUUUGUAGAAUGUGCAACUCAAUGCAUUCAAUCCUGACCUUUCGUUUUCAAGUGUAUCUCCACAAACAUUAGCGGGCAGACAAGGCCACACAAAGACCUCAGACACCAGCGGAUAAUUGAAGUACCCAAAAAGGCCACUAGAUAUCAUACUGACAGAGAUUCUUAAAAAUAGAUAGUACAAGUCAUUUUAUAAAUGUACUGUAUCUCUACCAAAACACAUGCUAAAUGUAAUGUUAGUACAAGCAACCUAUACUCUCAAGAAGCGAGCAAUACAAUCGUAAAUGGCAAAAAACCGGAUACAGCAAUAUGCAACACUAUAUACAUUGCACCGGGAGAUGUCUAGAAAACCACUAGAUGAAAGUAAAGGGCACCCGUGGUACAACGGAGCAGAUUUCCCUGACUCAUAUUAAGCCUAGUUCUAGACUAAAAAAGCCCUUUAAAUGAAUAAUAUCCAUUGAUCUUGCUUUUAACUCUAGGACUAGGCUCAAUCAGUGUCUGGGAAACCAUCCCUUAGCCCAUUAGCAGCAACAUCAAUAUUAGGUAGGGACAGAGACAUAGUGAGGCAAACUAUUCUCCAACUUGGCAUUAACAUUACCAUGACAUUAACAUGUUUUAUUGUGGCCAUGGAAUCUUUGGGCCAGCAUAACACCCAACAAAAUUAUGUCAGGCCCCUAUGAGUGCUUUUGAACCCAGUUUCUACUUCCAGCAUUAAGAUAUCCUGUGGGAGCAGCAAGAACAUGUGGGUAGUGAAGUUGCAAAUAGAUCAAAAUAUUUGGCUCAGUUUCACAGCCAGAUUUAGCAAGAUUUGCUACAUUGAAAUUAGGACUGGGAUUGGUAUGUUUUAUUUU